rfam:Triticum aestivum genome assembly, contig: Triticum_aestivum_CS42_TGACv1_scaffold_374610_5AL
ACAGUACUUUUUCCGUUCCAAAUUACUUGUCUUAAAUUUAUCUAAAUAUAGACAUAUCUAGAAUCAUUUUAAUGCUAAAUACCUCUGUAUUUAAACAAAUUUAAGAUAAGUAAUUCGAAACGGAAGGAGUAUAUC